CGGGUGAGGAAUACAUCGGAAUCUACCUUUUCGUGGGGGAUAACGUAGGGAAACUUACGCUAAUACCGCAUACGACCUACGGGUGAAAGUGGGGGACCGCAAGGCCUCACGCGAUUAGAUGAGCCGAUGUCCGAUUAGCUAGUUGGCGGGGUAAUGGCCCACCAAGGCGACGAUCGGUAGCUGGUCUGAGAGGAUGAUCAGCCACACUGGAACUGAGACACGGUCCAGACUCCUACGGGAGGCAGCAGUGGGGAAUAUUGGACAAUGGGCGCAAGCCUGAUCCAGCCAUACCGCGUGGGUGAAGAAGGCCUUCGGGUUGUAAAGCCCUUUUGUUGGGAAAGAAAUCCUAUCGAUUAAUACUCGGUGGGGAUGACGGUACCCAAAGAAUAAGCACCGGCUAACUUCGUGCCAGCAGCCGCGGUAAUACGAAGGGUGCAAGCGUUACUCGGAAUUACUGGGCGUAAAGCGUGCGUAGGUGGUGGUUUAAGUCUGCUGUGAAAGCCCUGGGCUCAACCUGGGAAUUGCAGUGGAUACUGGAUCACUAGAGUGUGGUAGAGGGAUGCGGAAUUUCUGGUGUAGCAGUGAAAUGCGUAGAGAUCAGAAGAACAUCCGUGGCGAAGGCGGCAUCCUGGGCCAACACUGACACUGAGGCACGAAAGCGUGGGGAGCAAACAGGAUUAGAUACCUGGUAGUCCACGCCC
rnacentral:rRNA from 1 species